GAGCGCGCGUGUCUAUUAGUAGCGGUAACCAUCCGUGGGAUUCGUAAUUUAGUUUCUAGUUUAUCUUGGAUCGAAGGUAGGAUACGAUUCGCGGCCGCGAAGGCGUAAAUACAGGCGUA